AUUGAACGCUGGCGGCAUGCUUUACACAUGCAAGUCGAGCGGCAGCACGGGGGCAACCCUGGUGGCGAGCGGCGAACGGGUGAGUAAUACAUCGGAACAUGCCCAGUCGUGGGGGAUAACACUUCGAAAGAAGUGCUAAUACCGCAUACGUCCUGAGGGAGAAAGCGGGGGAUCGCAAGACCUCGCGCGAUUGGAGUGGCCGAUGUCAGAUUAGCUAGUUGGUGGGGUAAAGGCCUACCAAGGCAACGAUCUGUAGCUGGUCUGAGAGGAUGAUCAGCCACACUGGGACUGAGACACGGCCCAGACUCCUACGGGAGGCAGCAGUGGGGAAUUUUGGACAAUGGGGGCAACCCUGAUCCAGCCAUUCCGCGUGAGUGAAGAAGGCCUUCGGGUUGUAAAGCUCUUUCGGCAGGAACGAAACGGCGAGCUCUAACAUAGCUUGCUAAUGACGGUACCUGAAGAAGAAGCACCGGCUAACUACGUG
rnacentral:rRNA from 1 species